CUCUCUCUGUGUCGAUGCUGAGAAUGAACCAGUCUUGCUUUGUCCUCCCAAAUGCAUCAACCUACACACAACUAGUGUUCACUGCAAGCUUAUGGUAAAGAACGAGUAAACUACAAAGCAAGUUUCCUCCUUGACAUGUUUAAGUAAAACCUCACUGAUGAGACCUGGGAAUGGAGCACAGUGACAGAGCACUUACCUAGCAUAUGGAGGCCUUAGGUUUCAUUCCCAGCAAUGCAAAAACAAGCAAAUAAAAAUUAAAAUCUCCAAAGCAUUCACUAAUUAAAAUGUGCUUUGCUCACAUAGAAACUGAACACAUGUAAUAACGUAUUUGAAAACAGGGCAUCAAAGUAUCUCCUAUGUCUACUAUAGUCUAAUAACUUAGCUAAAGUUCUCACUUAGGUGUUCUCCAUUUUUCAACAGUUACUGGGCAACUGCUAAGCUCUGGGCACUUGAGCUAGAGCCAGAACUUUUCCUCAGGUUGCUCAAGGUUUAGUUACAGGUAAGUUUCUAGAACGAGGCAGGAUGUGGACUCUGGUGCUGUGGGGAAGGUCAAAGGCAAGUGGAGUGUGAUAUCAAGUCUCCAAGCUCAAGCCCUGGUACCUCUAUAGAGAAGACACUGAGCUGGGUGCUGGUGGCUCACGGCUACAAUCUUAGCUACUCAGGAACUGAGAUCUGAGAUUCAAGGUUCAAAGCCA